UGUGACUAUUUUCAAGGCUACUGUUUUUCUCUGUGGAACACUGCCUUUGGGACAAAACAAGGAAGAAGCAGGAGAACACUUGACGAGCUUAAACAUGGAAUAUUCAGAUUAUUUCGGAAGUGGUGUGGAAGAUGGAUUAUAGGUGGUUGAAGCAAGAAGCUGGAAAAACUGAGGAGGCUUUUAAAACAGAAGAGGAUCCUGAGGAUCUAUGCUAAGGCAACAGCAGGAGGAAUGAUGGCGAGCAGACCUCCCACAGGUGAAGAAAACAGAAGGUAUCUCUCUGUCCUGGGACCAAGUCUCAGGCUCCAAGUGGUUCUGAAAAGCAGUGGAAAAUCAUGUGUAUUUGGAAGCUCACCGAAGAGGGGGAUCAAAUCUAUUGUGAACGUACAUCAGACUCCCCAUAGGGAAACACCACUCACCUGACCUGGAGAGGGAUCUUGGGCACCUUCUUAGAGACCUUGAACCGGCUUCUGUCCCCACAGGUAUCAGUGAAGUACACACCAGCCACACUGGUCACCUGGUUCCCUGGGAACUUGGACAGCACCUUGUCAUGACCAUGCUGACUGGCCCAAUACCAGGCUUGGCCCCCCAUGAGCAGGCCCCCUCCACGUUUCACAAACUGGAUCAG